GAAAAAUAUUAUAUCGAAUCUGUACUUAGCUCUGAUGGCAUGAGCAAUCUUUUAUAUUACCCAUAUAAGUUACCCUUAUAUAUUAGUGGCUUAGUUAUAUGCUGUAAAGACUAUUUAAUAUAUAAAAAAUUUAUACAAAUGAUAAAUGAAAAUAAAUUAAUACGUAAAUAUAGAUGUCUUGUAAAUAACCCAUUUGUUUUUGUUCAAAGUGAUACAAUAACAAGGAGUAAACAAGAGAAACAUCAAUAUACAGAACAACUAAAAAAAAAUACAUAUAACGUUAAUAGUGUUAAUAAGAAAAAUAAUGCUAUAUUAUGUGACAAAACUAGUAUACUACUACAUGACAAGCAUAACGAUUUAAACAUUUCAUUACGAAUAAAUUUGUUGGAAUCACAAAAAGAGGCUAUUGAUACUUUUUUAUUUUAUAAUUUUUUUGAUGAUAAUGUAUAUUCUACACGCUAUUGUUACAACUUAGCUGAUACAGAAAUUAAAAAAUUAAAAGAGCAAAUGAAUAGUCAGAUUAAAAAAAAAAACGAAAAUGGAAAAAAAUAUUCUCAUUAUAAUCUAUUCAGAAGUAAUAAGCCACAGUUGUGUAAAGAAGCCCAAAAAAAUAAAAAAUAUUUUAUGUCAGCUUUGUUAAAAAAAAGUGCCCCUAUAAAAAGUAUAAAUAACAUAUUGUCCUUUUUGUUUAAACGUCAAAAUAUUAACAAUUUUAAUUGUUCAUAUGAGACACAAAUAAAUAGCGCUAGUUAUAUGUACUCCGAUGAUAAGAAUGAAAUAAAUGUUGAUCAAAAUGGCCAGGUAAAACUGGACGAAGAAGGUAGUGCUAAAAAUGUAUGCGACAGCAAUAGCAAUAUACACGUUUGUAGUGGUAGUAGUAGUAGUAGUAGUGGUAGUAGUAGUGGUAGUAGUGGUAGUAGUGGUAGUAGUGGUAGUAGUGGUAGUAGUAGUGGUAGUAAAGGUAGUAGUGGUAGUAGUGGUAGUAGUAGUAGUAGUAUGCACGAUAAUACGAAACAUAUGCAUAGCGGUAGUAAAAGUAUACACAACGAAUACGACAUUUACAACUCCAAUUGGAACAAUUUGCUUUUGCCCAAAACUGGUAAAAUAAAGUACCCAUUGUCCGAGCUGUUUAAUGAAGGAAAUUUUUAUUUUUUAGAUAAAUAUAUGAACAAUUCAGAACAAGUUUCCAUAAUUUAUAACAUAGAAAAUUACCAAGACUAUUUAACAAGAAAAAAAAAUAAUAUAAAAAACCAAUCGAAGAAUGGAGAAGAACAAAUAAAAAUAGAUUUUAAAAAUAAUUUUAAUAACACGUAUUUAAUAAAAUUUAUUCUUUUAGAUAAUCAUAAACCAGAUAUUAUUCGAUUUUUUUUUAGCGAAUUAAAAACGCCAAUAAUAAAUGAUAAUAUAUUUGACAAAGCAUGUUAUAAAAAAGGUAUAAUUAACGAACUUAUUUUUGAACCUGUUGAAAAACAUUCAUCCACUAUCACUAAACCAACAUCAGUUACUACUUAUUCUUCUACUAUGUUUGAAGAUAAAUAUGCACAAAAUAAUAAAUAUAAUAAAAAUUUAAAUGAUAAAACGAAUGACUUUACAAAUCUGUACAAAUACUACAAGACUAAUCGUAUAGAUGAUUUAGAAAUUAAUGCUUUUUCUAUACCUAAUGAAAAUGUUCCUAUUUCUUCGACCAGUACCACACAUAUUGAUUCUACUAACUAUUUUAUAUGCGAGCAAAAUGACAACAGCGGGGGCAACAGUACUAGUAAUAGUAGCAAUAAAGGCAAAAUGGGAAAAAGCCAUAAAUUAUAUAACGAUGAAAAAGAGAGGAACAUACAUAUUGACAAAAAUAAUAACAUUAAACAUAGUAUUAAUAACGGCGACCUGUGUUUAGAAUUAUAUCAGUUACA
ensembl:lncRNA